rnacentral:rRNA from 1 species
GAUGAACGCUGGCGGCGUGCCUAAUACAUGCAAGUCGAGCGAACGGACGAGGAGCUUGCUUUUCUGACGUUAGCGGCGGACGGGUGAGUAACACGUGGAUAACCUACCUAUAAGACUGGGAUAACUUCGGGAAACCGGAGCUAAUACCGGAUAAUAUUUUGAACCGCAUGGUUCAACAGUGAAAGACGGUCUUGCUGUCACUUAUAGAUGGAUCCGCGCUGCAUUAGCUAGUUGGUAAGGUAACGGCUUACCAAGGCAACGAUGCAUAGCCGACCUGAGAGGGUGAUCGGCCACACUGGAACUGAGACACGGUCCAGACUCCUACGGGAGGCAGCAGUAGGGAAUCUUCCGCAAUGGGCGAAAGCCUGACGGAGCAACGCCGCGUGAGUGAAGAAGGUCUUCGGAUCGUAAAACUCUGUUAUUAGGGAAGAACAUAUGUGUAAGUAACUGUGCACGUCUUGACGGUACCUAAUCAGAAAGCCACGGCUAACUACGUG